AUCCCUUACAGAGCUAACGCCAACACCAUGAGCGCCGGAGAUAAGCGCCGGAAGGGAGACAAGAA
rfam:Escherichia hermannii NBRC 105704 DNA, contig: EH10570401.